CUGGGAUUAAAGGCGUGCACCACCACGCCCGGAUUGGAUCUUAAGGAUGCAAAGCAAGUUAAUUAAGAUCUCAAGGCAUGGCUCUGCCCACAAUCUUCCUUCUGCCUACCAGCUACCUCUCUCAGCUUGAAGUCCCACCAGGGUGCCUAUCUGCAGGAGACACAGGCAUUCAAGUUCUUACAAAGUAGAUCUUUAGGCUGAGGCUAGCCCACAAACCAGACCUGACCUCUCCGAGUUUGAGAGAGGCUCCUUGGGAGGAAGGAGUGACUCGAAAACCUCCCCACUCACACCCCUCCUCUCAGGAGAGUUUCAAUUCUGGGUCAAGAGUUGAAACCACCCUGACAAACUACCUAGCCACCCUGGACUAUCUCAGGUUUCAGGUCAGGCUUUUGCAGAAGCUCCUCUGGCCUCCUUUUUCUUACAGUGUGACUCUGG
rnacentral:lncRNA from 1 species